AUGCUACCAGUUCGUUCUGCCUUUUUGAACUCUGUCAACCAAAGCCUUUUUGUGAUGUUCUGUCUUGGAUCCCGUCAAGACCGCCUCAAGUUCGACUACGGUGUGCUGCCCCGACCAAGACCGCAAGUACCUGACGACCCCCGGAGACCUUGGAUAUGCCAAGUUCCUUUCCGAACGUGUACGACUACAUAUCCGUGGGCGUCAAGUUCCUCUACGAAAACGAGUACCACUACCGUCGCCUUGUACCACUACUUCCACUACCGUCGCGAGAACGACUACUUCCACUACGGCCUGUGUACCACUACUUCCUUCGACGAACUUGAUCCGUUCCGAAAAUACACGCUUCAAAGCUUCGGUUUCGUUCCGGAGUUGUGA
rnacentral:rRNA from 1 species